UACGGAUGGGGCUAGCGUUGUUCGGAAUUACUGGGCGUAAAGCGCACGUAGGCGGCUUUGCAAGUUAGAGGUGAAAGCCCGGGGCUCAACUCCGGAAUUGCCUUUAAAACUGCAUCGCUAGAAUUGUGGAGAGGUAAGUGGAAUUCCGAGUGUAGAGGUGAAAUUCGUAGAUAUUCGGAAGAACACCAGUGGCGAAGGCGACUUACUGGACACAUAUUGACGCUGAGGUGCGAAAGCGUGGGGAGCAAACAGG
rnacentral:rRNA from 1 species